rnacentral:snoRNA from 13 species
GAAGAGAUGAUGAUAAAUUGUCACUGAUAGUUGGACUAAAUCUAUUUUUGAUCGAGUCGUAAACUUUUUUAAGGAUGUUCGGUUUGCCGAGGCAUUUGUCUGAUUUUU